rfam:Ixodes scapularis strain Wikel colony gcontig_1108378241894, whole genome shotgun sequence.
GCAGUCGUGGCCGAGUGGUUAAGGCGAUGGACUGGAUAUCCAUUGGGGUCUCCCCCGCACAGGUUCGAAUCCUGUCGACUGCG